rnacentral:lncRNA from 1 species
CGGAACCGAUCAAGGGAGACGAUGAAUUACAAAUUGCCCCUCUCCACCAAUACCCCGACGGCGUGUUGCAACUCCACAGCCCUCAGAGCGAAGAAAAGUGCCCGGAUGUUGUCCUAGACGUAAGUGGCAGUGAGGAGAGGCUGAAGGAAGAAGAGGAUCGCCCGUCCGAAGCGGUGCGGUGGAAAGGCUGGACAGAAGCUGACUCUGAACACGAUAAAUCGACGCUCGGACGACCGCCACCGCAGGAAUACCAGUCCAAGAAUGGAGGGCAGACUCGAGCCGUGCUCAACGAGUCGGUGUCCACUUUGGUCUCUACGCCUGUGGCCGUUCCAGCCGUCGUCGUGCCGUCCGCCUUGUGCACCGAGGCAAACGUGGAUGACGUGUCGGAAUGCGUGGUGGUUCCGCCUCCGCUCAAGUAUCGUCAGACAAUUGUGUAAAAAGUGACCAGGGACGCUGCUCGCCCGGUACUAUGCGGACAUCGCACGUGGUGCCGCUGUUGUCAGUGACGUGUUCUUCUGGACAGAGCAAGUGACAAACUGGAUCGAGGCUGGAAAUGUGCCAUUGUGGAAGGACAGAAAGUGACAUUGAGGGACAACACGACGACGAACACUUCGUGUUAUCCCCACUUUCCGAACAGUGCUACAAUGUGCAUAGGAAGAUGAACUGACCUCUUAAUCGCUAUCCGUUGCUCCUUCUUACGCUGCCGGUCUUAAUUGUGGUCGCAGUUUUGUGCAGUGUGGCCCCCUUUGCAGAUUAUCUUUUCCCGGACUCAAGUGGCAGUCGACGAAGUGAAACAUGUCAGAAAAUUUUGGCAGAAGCCGUCGAUGAAACCGUCUUAACCAUGCUAGAACCACACGUAGUGUUUCAUGUGUGUCAUCCACACUGGAAUCAAGUCGGACACUGAAUUCUUAAUGCAGAUUGAAGGAGUGCCGACCUUUUUUUUCACUUGCUGCGCAGAAGGUUAGCAGAUAACAUAUAAUUUUGUGCAAGAAUUACCGAAGAACUAUUUUGUGGACGAAUACUAGACAUUUGCCAAGUUGACCAGCACGAAAGACGAGAGGAAAGACACAUGUACAAAAAGGACCAGUGUGUCUCGUCUUUCGUACUGGUUAACUUCGCAAUUACUAGGCAGUACUAAACACGAACUAUAUUCAGUUCAUGUCUAGUACGGCGGCAGAAUUUCAUUUCGUUGUGUAUGGUUUUACUACGAGGGGAAAAAAUGGUUUGCUUAGCCUAACAUAUGUAUGUCCUCGUAUAGGUGGUUAAUAAGCACCAAGUUUGUGAGACUGUUACUUAACUAAUUUUGCUAGCUGAACUGAGUGAAGACAGCAGUUAUUCGCACGUGUUAACGGCUAAAAUGAGGCAGAAGAUAGACGACAGCACCAGCAAGACGUCAACAGCAGCAGUGCGAAAAUUCACGUAGUUUAUUUCAUAUCCGAAAUCAAAGAAGCGAUUGUCAUAAGAAUUGGAUAUCGAAGUCAAGGAAGAGAGAAUUGUAUAUACAACACAAAUUUAGUACAUCGUCUACGCAGACUAAAAAUUUACAAGAACGCUUCGAGAUUGUUAAAACCUUAUACAUAUCAUUCUACUGCUUGUUAUUACAAAGAGCUGCAAUGUUACACUCUUAUUAAGGUCCCGCUUAAAGUGCUAGAUAUAGCCAGGAAACCGAACAUCUUUAGUCUGGGUUCCUGGAUAUACCCAGCAAUUAGCCACGACCUGAGUAAAAGUGUACACAAGGUGUUUUAUUUAAAACAAUACAUGUGCGAAGUGAUUAAUGAUAGCCUCAUGGCUACGAUGGAAAUUAUGUGUAGGGUAGAUGGCUAAACCUCCGCCCAGCCGCAAAGAAUGUUGGCUUUACGUUUUGAGUAGUCUACAAUAGACGAAUUCGUUCUAACAAGGACAUGUUGUAACCGAAAUGGCUGGACGUGUCUGAGAAGAAACAAUCGGAGACGGAACACACGGAGCCUUACGCUAACCAACAAAAUUUGUGCGUUUAAAUGGUGAGGUUCAGCAUACAAAUGGGGUAAACAAUUUAAAGCCCGCUUCUACUUAGGGACGAUGAAGCUGGCUCGGCCCCUACGAUUAAUGUAUGAUUGCCCUAAGCCGGCACGUUUUCGCACGGCUUCACUCUUCGGAAGUUGAAAUCCCUACAUCAUGGCAGACAGCUUUCGCCGGUAAAGCGGGCGUAGCGAUAGCUGCAAAGCUUGCCGUUGAGCGUAAAUGCGGGUAAUCGCGAUGGACCAGGUAUGAGCACAAACGUUACUCUAAUAAUUGUGGCAUGUAGUGGCAUUGCUGCUAUUUUCUGUGUACGAAAGGUGACAACGCAAGCGUGUUCAACUCUUCUGGAAUAUUGAAAAGUAGCUUAUGUGUAUCAUUCAAAAUGCCGAAAGAACCCCAACUAUUAGUAUCAAGCUGCUGUCGCCGGGAAGAGUCGCAAAUUAACACUGCAGUCAAAUUACCGAGUCCCGACUUGAAAAAUGUGUUUCCAGAUCGAAGGGAAAAGCUAGAGAUGAAAAAGAAGGAAACAUGCGAAAUACCUGGCCACUAUUCAUUGCCUGUUUACGAAAAAUCUGCGAUGAACAACUUAACGUUUUCAUCUUCUACUUUCACUGCCUUUCUUUCCGAUUUUGUGGGGAUUACCUUAAUGAAUAUAGAAGAACAUGCAGUUUCAGAUGGGCAGCACGUGAGCCAUUAUCUCGGCUUUGAUUUUCAGUAAACCCUGCUCCAUUUUUUAUAUUGAUCGCGUAAAAUGAGGGCACGCUACUCAAUCGAAGGAAGGAAGGAACAAACAAGCGGAAAGACAGGGAGGUUAGCCAGUUCUUAGACCGGCUGGCUACCCUGCGCUGGGGGAAGGUGUAUAUGCUGAAGCGCUGAAGACAUUGUGAAAGCAAUUGAUUAGGCUAUGGCAAAAAAGCGCGAUCGGCGUAGAAAAAAGAAGUGCCAUGCGCUAAUUUACCACUAGUAGUUUAUUGGUCCUGUUAUAGCCUGGCGCGUCAAAUUUCGUUCAAGAACGCUACACGAGCUUUCUCUAGGAGCAGGUUCUAAUUAAAAAGAAACUACAAGCAAUGUUUCCUUUUGUAAAUUUCUCAUGUCUGGAGAAAGCAAGUUAAUGUGAUGAAGUAUUGAGGGAGAACUGCGGAGCAUUAGCACAACGAUUAGUUUGUGAAGAGUAGAUGGUACUCAUACAAACUGUUGAACUCGAGGCCGUCAGCAAAAGCUACGUCGCUCCAACUUUGGAAGCUUGAUUUGAACACAACUCACGCGGGCCAAUUGAAGCUAUUCCGGGAACCUAAGAUCAUCAUCAUCAUCAUUAUAUAUAUAUAUUUUUUACUGCUAUGCGAAAUCGCAUGAGGCCGUGGGCCAGCAUCCCUCCGUUUGAAAAAAAAGUGGGCACCGUGGGAACCGUGGAACAGUGUGAAAAAAAAAAAGAAAACGCUGUCUGUACAGUAAGCUGUGUUGAGACUCUUGUGACGUUCUCCUUAUAACUAGUAACAUUGAGGCACUGGGAUAUCACAAUUUACGUCGACAAAAGUUAACAAAGAAGAUGCGACGCGGGCGUUGUUGUACUUGAAGCUUGGACACACUGUUAGUAUUACGUUGUCCAGCCUCGAGUUUUUUUCUCUGUGUCUUUUUUUGCGAAGUGUGCUCUGUAUAGUAUCGAGAUAACUGUCUGAUGUUAGAAAAUAAACUUCAAAUU